GGAGCGUGCUCUGCCACCUGCUAAGCCCCGGAGACGCAGUCAAGGGUCUCAGCGACACCUUGGGGGAGGGGAGCAGAACGUACGGAAAUGGAUGUUAGGCGACUCUACAGCCUACCUUCUAUACCCGCCCCCUUUCGCCUUAGAAUGGUUACUUUGAAACCCGGAAGCAAUUCAUCUCCGGAACACACCGCGGGUCACGUGGGGGCGGUGCGUAACGGGCGCGUGAUCCGGCGUCCUGCGGGUCUUCCCCUCCCCAGGGGCACCCAGCAUGCUUUGGGCACGUGGCAGCUCAUGUCCUAAAUAGGAGCAUUCCUGGGCCGCUAUCCUGUGAGGGUGGAGACGCUCCCCGAGACUGGACAGACACCGAGAGGUGGAGCUGAGCUAAUAGGAGGCUAAGGGAAUUCCAUGUAUUCCAGUUAUCCUGAGCUCACGCACAGCAGAGGAUACCCCCGAGCUUCACCGCCAUCUCUUACUAGGAUUCCAGGAUCCCUUUCAAGGCUUCUACCUGGAGCAACUGCCCACAGUUCUGCCUUAAGAGUGCCUGAGAGACCUGGCAUCUCACAGCCUGCCCUCCAAAUCAUCACUCACUCUGCCAGGCACACCAGGUCUUCCUCCCCUUACUCGCCGCACCAAAGAAAUCAAAACCCAAACUGAGGUAUCAGAAACAUGUUUUUUUUUUUUCUUUUAAUAGUAAACCUCUUUACAACAAAUAUAGUGAAAGAGUUUUCAAACCAAACUCGUAAGAAUCUCGAGGACUUUUCUUAAUGUGCAGAAUACUAGAAAGCAUCACC
ensembl:lncRNA